GGUCAAUUAUAUUGAAACCGGUCGGCAACCCGUUUUGGGUUAAACACCUCCCCAUGGAAUCGUCUUUUAAUUUGGCGUUUCUCAACUCCCGUCUCCGCUCCGUCCGCCGUCUGCAGUGGUGGAAAUCAACGAGCUCGCGUUCCCAGAGGACGAAGAAGGAAGCAGAGUGUUUAGGCAGCUGAAAGCAUAUUGCUUUGAGCUUCUAGCUUUUCCAAAACCCUAAGAAGCACCUCUCUGCUCUCUCUUCUCUGCACCAUUUUCUUCGCCGGUCUCCGCCUCAUGCUCUCCAGCCAUCCUUCGACUACAUGUUGUUUCUGUUGCUGCUUCGAUUGGAUGCAGCUGUUGACUUGACUGUAGAACCUCAAAGAAGCUUGGUUCUGAAGAAAAACUUGCGAGUCAUAAGGUCCUAAAAAUGCCUCACAAAGUGAGCGAUAGUGUUGCUGAAGGUUGCUUCAGUGCCUGGAAGAACUGCUCAAGAAGUGUAGUUUAGGAUCUGUAGAUCAGGUAAGUUCAAAGCUGGCUGCCAAAGAAAUGGCAUGGUUUUUCCGUUAGUUCAAAAUUGUUUUGUAUGUUGUAUUAGUUAGUUUGUUCCCGUGAAUUGUUGUCCUAGAAGGCAGUCUUCACAUUUGAAGCACAAUAAUAUCCUUUGCAGUUGGUUUUAGUUCUGAAGAAGUUGACUUAUGGGGCUUUGCUUUCUCCAUCUGAUGCAUCAGAAGAGUUUCGUGAAGGAAUUUUUAAGUGUUUCGGGGAACUGCUUCUGAAUGUAUUUCCAUGCUUUGAUGAUUCUUGUGCAUGUAAAUUGUAAACAAAUAUUUGGUGUACUUAUGCUUUUAGAAUACAGAGACAUGAAAGCUCCACUCAGUAGAACUUCAAAGUAUGAUUCAGAACCAGAUGACUGUUUGCUUGCAUUUCUACGGUCAAAGACUGCUUCUGCAGGUGUUGGACACUGGCUAUCACUUAUUCUCAAAGCUGCAGAUAAUGAGGCUGCAUGAGGACAUCUAGGUAAUGUAAAGCUUCGGAUUGAAGCCUUUAUGACCCUAUGUGUGCUUGUUGCUAAGGGCUAUGAUGAAGAUGUCAGAGCUAAAGGGGCUCACCGGAUCUCAAGGUCAGGUCAGGGUAGGCUGCUCUUUGCCUCUGCAGACUUCAUAAACGGCAUGCGCUGUGGAGAACCAGGCAAGAUGGCAUGGAAUCUGCCUUGUUUUGAAGAGAACUGAACUGAUUUUUGCCCCUUCUGGCUCUGGUUGUACAGUUUUAAUUAACCUGCCAUAUUAGACUUAGACCAUUCACUCAGUCGUUUCGACCUCCUUGCUAAUUAGAUUGUCGGAUGCACUCGACAGACCAUUCAUUCAUUCAUUUCUUUGUAAUUACAAUUACAGAUUGAAAAUCAAAGAUAAUGUGAUCGACUAGCAGUUGCAAGUGAAGCUGGUUGGUAUCAUGUGCUUCUGUUUGUACUCAUUUUUAACAACUAAUAUAUAUAUUUGAACUCA